rnacentral:rRNA from 1 species
AGAAGCAGCCACCAUUUAAAGAGUGCGUAAUAGCUCACUGGUCGAGAGACUCUGCGCCGAAAAUGUCCGGGGCUAAAGUGUAAAACCGAAGUCGUGUCAUAUGCAGCAAUGUAUAUGGGUAGGGGAGCGUUCUCAUCGGGCUGAAGCAGUACCGUAAGGAGUUGUGGACUGAUGAGAAGUGAGAAUGUCGGUAUGAGUAGCGAAAAGAAUGGUGAGAAUCCAUUCCACCGAAAGCCUAAGGGUUCCUGAGCAACGAUCGUCGUCUCAGGGUAAGUCGGGACCUAAGCCGAGGCGGAAAAGCGUAGGCGAUGGACAACAGGUUGAAAUUCCUGUACCGGUGUGAAUCGUUUGAUCGAUGGAGUGACACAGUAAGGUAGGUCAGCACGCGAUUGGAAGAGCGUGUUUAAGCAGGUAGGUUGAGCUAUAGGCAAAUCCGUAGCUCUAAAAGCUGAGAUGUGAUGACGAGUGACUAGCAAUAGUCGCGAAGUGAUUGAUCCUACACUGUCGAGAAAAGCUUCUAGGUAGAGACACAUCGCCCGUACCAAAACCGACACAGGUAGGCGGGGAGAGAAUCCUAAGGUGCGCGGGAAAACCCUCGUUAAGGAACUCGGCAAAAUGCCUCCGUAACUUCGGGAAAAGGAGGACUCAUGUAGUGUGAAGAGCAGAAGCGCUUGGAGCAUGAAUGAGUGGCACAAGAGAGGCGCAAGCGACUGUUUACCACAAACACAGGUGCCUGCUAAAGCGAAAGCUGAUGUAUAGGUGCUGACACCUGCCCGGUGCUGGAAGGUUAAGAGGAGGGGUUAGACUUCGGUCGAAGCUCUGAAUUGAAGCCCCAGUAAACGGCGGCCGUAACUAUAACGGUCCUAAGGUAGCGAAAUUCCUUGUCGGGUAAGUUCCGACCCGCACGAAAGGUGUAACGACUUGCGCACUGUCUCAACGAGGGACCCGGUGAAAUUGAAGUACCUGUGAAGAUGCAGGUUACCCGCGACUGGACAGAAAGACCCCAUGGAGCUUUACUGCAACCUAAGAUUGAACUUAGUUAAUGAAUGUACAGGAUAGGUGGGAGACGGAGAACCUAGGACGCCAGUUUUAGGGGAGUCGCUGUUGGGAUACCACCCUUUCAUUAAUUGAUUUCUAACGGGCCGAGUAACGACCGGCCGGACAGUCUUAGGCGGGCAGUUUGACUGGGGCGGUCGCCUCCAAAAGAGUAACGGAGGCGCCCAAAGGUUCCCUCAGAGCGGACGGAAAUCGCUCGAAGAGUGUAAAGGCAGAAGGGAGCUUGACUGCGAGACGGACAGGUCGAGCAGGGACGAAAGUCGGGCUUAGUGAUCCGGUGGUGCCGAGUGGAAGGGCCAUCGCUCAACGGAUAAAAGCUACCCUGGGGAUAACAGGCUAAUCUCUCCCAAGAGUCCAUAUCGACGGGGAGGUUUGGCACCUCGAUGUCGGCUCAUCACAUCCUGGGGCUGAAGUAGGUCCCAAGGGU